rnacentral:lncRNA from 1 species
GAGAGACUGAAAAUAUCUAGCCGGAGCCAGAUGCGUCGCGUGUCUGUCCCUGAAAUAUUAGCCAAAGGAGUGAUUUAACAAAAUCAAAUGGCGGGUGGGGCGCCUGCCUGGCGGAGCUGUUGACUUUGCGCCAGCUCUGGUGGAGCAGCCGGUGCUGCGAGUGAUUCCGGAGAAUGCCAACAGCUGGGAAGCAGGCCAGACCGCGGAGGCAAAGGGUCUGUUUUGGUUUGGGGCGGAUCGUUUUACAUAAAUCAGAGAUGUGGAUAUACACCUUCCUUAGAGGCUCUUAGAAAUGCUCUCAAAACAGCCCUGGGGCAGUACACCCGGAGGUGGUUUUGUCUUUCUUGGCUAAAGAAAGAACACUUGCGAACUGACAAGUCUGAGAAAUCCAAGUGGGAGCGAUGCUCAGGUCCCUUCUGAAAGCCAGCUGCUGGGCUGUCCUGCCAGCGCACUGGCUAGCAGGGUUCACUAGCUCCGUUUACAGUGGACAACCUGCGAGUGAGGGCCAUGAGACUCACUACCUUCCAGGGCUGCUUUGUGACAGUGAGUGAGCUUCUCACGGAUCGGUUAGUGCCAUGGUAGUGUUGAAACAAGCUGUUUGUGAGGGAAGACUUCAAAUGCAACUCCACAAACCUUUAGCGAAGAAUCCAAAGGGGAUCAUUUGAUGACAUCUUCGAACAUAAAGAAAAUACAAGGCAUGAGCAAGAACAAAUAACUCCUCCCUGUAAAAAUAAAUAAAUAAAAGAUAUAUCAGGGGUGUGGCCUCAGUGGAUGGCGCUACCCUGACACAGGCAGAAACACACUCACAGGAGGCAAGCUGAGCUCCACUCCAGAGAAUUCCCCAAUCCUAGUUAGUGGUCUUCAGAAAAUCGUAAUCUGUGUCUAGUCCUCUCCUGUUUAAUGGUAAAAUUGAAAGCUGACGAUUUUAUUCGUUAGUGUUAGGGAUAAAACCAGGUUCUAGUGCAUAUCAAAUAACCAUAAACUCUGACACUGAACU